rnacentral:rRNA from 1 species
UACGUAGGGUGCGAGCGUUGUCCGGAAUUAUUGGGCGUAAAGAGCUUGUAGGCGGUUUGUCGCGUCUGCCGUGAAAAUCCGGGGCUCAACCCCGGACUUGCGGUGGGUACGGGCAGACUAGAGUUCGGUAGGGGAGACUGGAAUCCCUGGUGUAGCGGUGAAAUGCGCAGAUAUCAGGAGGAACACCGGUGGCGAAGGCGGGUCUCUGGGCCGAAACUGACGCUGAGGAGCGAAAGCGUGGGGAGCAAACAGG